rnacentral:rRNA from 1 species
UACGUAGGGUGCAAGCGUUAAUCGGAAUUACUGGGCGUAAAGCGUGCGCAGGCGGUUUUGUAAGUCUGUUGUGAAAUCCCCCGGGCUCAACCUGGGAAUGGCAAUGGAGACUGCAAGGCUAGAGUUUGGCAGAGGGGGGUAGAAUUCCACGUGUAGCAGUGAAAUGCGUAGAUAUGUGGAGGAACACCGAUGGCGAAGGCAGCCCCCUGGGUCAAAACUGACGCUCAUGCACGAAAGCGUGGGGAGCAAACAGG